AACGAACGCUGGCGGCAUGCCUAACACAUGCAAGUCGAACGAAGUCUUCGGACUUAGUGGCGCACGGGUGCGUAACGCGUGGGAAUCUGCCCUUGGGUGCGGAAUAACUUCUCGAAAGGGAUGCUAAUACCGCAUAAUGUCGUAAGACCAAAGAUUUAUCGCCCAAGGAUGAGCCCGCGUAAGAUUAGCUAGUUGGUGGGGUAAAAGCCUACCAAGGCGACGAUCUUUAGCUGGUCUGAGAGGAUGAUCAGCCACACUGGGACUGAGACACGGCCCAGACUCCUACGGGAGGCGGCAGUGGGGGAAUAUUGGACAAUGGGGCGAAAGCCUGAUCCAGCAAUGCCGCGUGAGUGAUGAAGGCCCUAGGGUUGUAAAGCUCUUUUACCAGGGAUGAUAAUGACAGUACCUGGAGAAUAAAGCUCCGGCUAACUCCGUGCCAGCAGCCGCGGUAAU
rnacentral:rRNA from 1 species